rnacentral:rRNA from 1 species
CCUACGGGUGGCUGCAGUGGGGAAUAUUGCACAAUGGGCGAAACCCUGAUGCAGCAACGCCGCGUGAGUGAUGACGGCCUUCGGGGUGUAAAGCUCUGUCUUCAGGGACGAUAAUGACGGUACCUGAGGAGGAAGCCACGGCUUACUACGUGCCAGCAGCCGCGGUGAUACGUAGGUUGCGAGCGUUGUCCGGAUUUACUGGGCGUAAAGGGUGCGUAGGCGGACUUUUAAGUGAGAUGUGAAAUACACGGGCUCAACUUGAGUGCUGCAUUUCAAACUGGAAGUCUCGAGUGCAGGAGAGGAGAGUGGAAUGCCUGGUGUAGCGGUGAAAUGCGUAGAGAUUAGGAAGAACACCAGUGGCGAAGGCGAUUCUCUGGAGUGUAACUGACGCUGAGGCUCGAAAGCGUGGGUAGCGAACAGGAUUAGAUACCCGGGUAGUC